UGCCUCAGUAACGGCGAGUGAAGCGGCAACAGCUCAAAUUUGAAAUCUGGCCCCAGGCCCGAGUUGUAAUUUGCAGAGGAUGCUUUUGGUGCGGUGCCUUCCAAGUUCCCUAGAACGGGACGCCAGAGAGGGUGAGAGCCCCGUACAGUUGGACACCAAGCCUUUGUAAAGCUCCUUCGACGAGUCGAGUAGUUUGGGAAUGCUGCUCAAAAUGGGAGGUAUAUUUCUUCUAAAGCUAAAUACCGGCCAGAGACCGAUAGCGCACAAGUAGAGUGAUCGAAAGAUGAAAAGCACUUUGAAAAGAGGGUUAAACAGCACGUGAAAUUGUUAAAAGGGAAGCGCUUGUGACCAGACUUGCGUCCGGUGAAUCACCCAGCUCUCGCGGCUGGGGCACUUCGCCGGCUCAGGCCAGCAUCAGCUCGCUGUCGGGGACAAAAGCUUCAGGAACGUAGCUCUCUUCGGGGAGUGUUAUAGCCUGUUGCACAAUACCCUUCGGCGGGCUGAGGUACGCGCUCCGCAAGGAUGCUGGCAUAAUGGUCAUCAGCGACCCGUCUUGAAACACGGACCAAGGAGUCAACCUUAUGUGCGAGUGUUCGGGUGUCAAACCCCUACGCGUAAUGAAAGUGAACGCAGGUGAGAGCUUCGGCGCAUCAUCGACCGAUCCUGAUGUUCUCGGAUGGAUUUGAGUAAGAGCAUAUAGGGUUGGACCCGAAAGAAGGUGAACUAUGCGUGUAUAGGGUGAAGCCAGAGGAAACUCUGGUGGAGGCUCGCAGCGGUUCUGACGUGCAAAUCGAUCGUCAAAUAUGCGCAUGGGGGCGAAA
rnacentral:rRNA from 1 species